GCUCUGGAAGUCUCUCACCGGCAGCUGCUGCUCUCGCUGGGGGCGGCCGAUGCCACCGGCAACAACAACAACGUCCCCAACAGUGUCCCCAACAGUGUCACCAACAGUGUCACCAAGAGUGUCCUCAGUGUCCCCAGUGUCACCAACAGUGUUCUCAGUGUCACCAACAAUGUCCCCAGUGUCACCAAGAGUGUCCCCAACUGCCACAGCACCAUCCCCAGUGUCCCCAGUGUCCCCAGCAGUGUCCCCAGCGGUGUCCCCACUGUCCCCAGUGUCCCCAGCAGUGUCCCCAGCAGUGUCCCCAGUGUCCCCAAUGUCCCCAGCAGUGUCUCCAGUGGUGUCCCCAGUGGUGUCCCCACUGUCCCCGGUGUCCCCGAGUGGGCCCAGCCACCCCCCGGCCCCUUCAUGACUUGGAGACUCGGUGACACCCCCGGACACGGUGACACCAGACACGGUGACACCAGACACGGUGACACCAGACACAGUGACACUGCCAGACAUGGUGACACAGGACACGGUGACACCGCCAGACUCGGUGACACAGGACAUGGUGACACCGCCAGACUCGGUGACACAGGACACGGUGACACCGCCAGACUCGGUGACACCUCUGGACACGGUGACACCCCCGGAUGUGGUGACACUGGACACUGUGACACUGGACACGGUGACACCUCUGGACACGGUGACACCCCCGGAUGUGGUGACACCCCCGGACAUGGUGACACCAGACAUGGUGACACAGGACACGGUGACACUGGACACGGUGACACUGGACACGGUGACACCCCCGGACACGGUGACACCCCCGGACACGGUGACACUGGUGGACAUGGUGACACCGCCGGACACGGUGACACGGCCAGCACAGGUGAGAGCACCCUCAGUGUCACCCCAGUGUCCUUCAGUGUCACCCCAAUGUCCCCAGUGUCACCCCAGUGUCACCUCAAUGUCACCUUUACCACACCCCUGUUCCAUCCACAUUAAUCUCUCAUUAAUUCCCAUUAAUCCCCAUUAAUUUCCCCAUUAAUCCCCAUUAAUUCCCCCAUUAACUCCCAUUAAUUCCCCCAUAAUUUUCCCCAUUAAUUCCCCAUUAUUUUUGCUAUUAAUUUCCCAUUAUUUCCCCCAUUAAUCCCCCAUUAAUUCCCCAUUAGUUCCCAUUAAUUUUCCCCAUUAAUUCCCCAUUAGUUCCCAUUAAUUUUCCCCAUUAAUUCCCCAUUAUUCUCAUUAAUUUCCCCCAUUAAUUCCCCAUUAUUCUCAUUAAUUUCCCCCAUUAAUUCCCAUUAAUUUUUCCCAUUAAUUUCCCCUAUUAUUCCCAUUAAUUCCCCAUUAAUUUCCCAUUAACUUCCCCCAUUAUUCCCAUUAAUUCCCCAUUAAUUCCCAUUAAUUUUCCUCAUUAAUUCCCCAUUAAUUCCCCAUUAUUGCCAUUAAUCUUCCCCAUUAAUUUCCCCCAUUAUUCCCAUUAUUUUCCCCAUUAAUUCCCAUUAAUUUUCCCCAUUAAUUUCCCAUUAAUUUCCCCCAUUAAUUCCCCAUUAUUCCCAUUAAUCUUCCCCAUUAAUUUCCCCCAUUAUUCCCAUUAAUUCCCCAUUAAUUUUCCCUAUUAAUUCCCCAUUAAUUCCCCAAUUAAUUCCCAUUAAUUUUCCCGCUUUUCCCUUUUUUUUCCAGGCUCCGCCCACCUUUAACCCGGGAGAGGGGGGGGAGGGGCUGGAAUUUCCCUCCCCUCCCCCCCCAGGAAGGUUUUUCCAGGGAAUUCCCGAAUUCCCGGACAGAUGCACUUUGUUGGGAAUUCCCAAAUUUUUUUCUUUUUCCCGGAAAAAAAAAUUUCCCAAAAUUCCUAUAAAUAUGUACGUACGCCCCUCCCCCACCCUGUAAAUAGCCCCUCCCCCCUCCGGCCGACAAUCGGGGGCGGCACCCCCAAAAUCCCUGGAUUUCACCCCAAAAAUUCUGGGAUUUCACCCCAAAAAUUCUGGGAUUUCACCCCAAAAAU
rnacentral:lncRNA from 1 species